GACCCAUUAGCUCAGUUGGUUAGAGCAUCGUGCUAAUAACGCGAAGGUCGUGGGUUCAAUUCCCCCCAUGGGCCA